rnacentral:lncRNA from 1 species
UUCGUCCAGCUUGACAUCCAAUAAUACCCUCAGAGAAGGGAUCUCCACCUCAACUGGUAAGACUGCUUCCAUACCAUACACAAGGGAGUAGGGGGUUGCCCCAGUCGACGUACGCACUGAAGUACGGUAUCCAUGCAAAGCGAAAGGCAACAUCUCGUGCCAAUCCUUGUACGUAACGACCAUUUUCUGCACAAUCUUCUUGAUAUUCUUGUUAGCUGCC